rnacentral:rRNA from 1 species
GACGAACGCUGGCGGCGUGCUUAACACAUGCAAGUCGUACGGUAAGGCCCUUUCGGGGGUACCCGAGUGGCGCACGGGUGAGUAACACGUGAGUAACCUGCCCACAACUUUGGGAUAACGCUAGGAAACUGGUGCUAAUACUGGAUAUGUGCUCCUGCUGCAUGGUGGGGGUUGGAAAGCUCCGGCGGUUGUGGAUGGACUCGCGGCCUAUCAGCUUGUUGGUGGGGUAGUGGUCUACCAAGGCGGCGACGGGUAGCCGGCCUGAGAGGGUGACCGGCCACAUUGGGACUGAGAUACGGCCCAGACUCCUACGGGAGGCAGCAGUGGGGAAUAUUGCACAAUGGGCGCAAGCCUGAUGCAGCAACGCCGCGUGCGGGAUGACGGCCUUCGGGUUGUAAACCGCUUUCAGCAGGGACGAAGCUUUUUGUGACGGUACCUGCAGAAGAAGCACCGGCUAACUACGUG